ensembl:snoRNA
AGCACUUUUGUGUCCAUUUUUUUGUCUGACAUGAGGACUAAGACUUAUGGACAGGUGCAGAAAAUCCUCUUUUGCAACCCAGCACUCAUUGUUCAGUGUGCGAUUUGAUACAUGCGAGAAGGAACAUU